rnacentral:rRNA from 1 species
UAACGCGUGAGGAACCUGCCUCAAAGAGGGGGACAACAGUUGGAAACGACUGCUAAUACCGCAUAAGCCCACAGCUCGGCAUCGAGCAGAGGGAAAAGGAGUGAUCCGCUUUGAGAUGGCCUCGCGCCGAUUAGCUAGUUGGUGAGGUAAUGGCCCACCAAGGCGACGAUCGGUAGCCGGACUGAGAGGUUGAACGGCCACAUUGGGACUGAGACACGGCCCAG